UACGAAGGGGGCUAGCGUUGCUCGGAAUCACUGGGCGUAAAGCGCACGUAGGCGGACUCUUAAGUCAGGGGGUGAAAUCCUGGAGCUCAACUCCAGAACUGCCUUUGAUACUGGGAGUCUUGAGUUCGGGAGAGGUGAGUGGAACUGCGAGUGUAGAGGUGAAAUUCGUAGAUAUUCGCAAGAACACCAGUGGCGAAGGCGGACUCACUGGCCCGGUACUGACGCUGAGGCGCGAAAAGCUAGGGUAGCAAACGGG
rnacentral:rRNA from 1 species